rnacentral:lncRNA from 1 species
CCAGCAAAUAAAUCAAUAUUAAAAAAAAAAAAAACCAACAGAAAAAUCUUUGCUUCUUGGUUGAAAGUUAAGAGGGAGAAAUGUUUCAUCUCUGAUUCAGACCUUGCUAGGCAAUUCAUACCUAAUAUUUGACAACUAAACACUUUCUCCCGUGGAGGAGGAAGUGGCCACCCACUCUAGUAUUCUUUUCUGGUAAAUUCCACAGACAGAGGAGACUGGCGGGCAAAAGUCCAUGGGGUCACAAAGAGCUGGAUAUGACUCAGCACACACACAUGACACUUUCUAGUCUUUUUAAAAAAAUUAAUUAAUUUUAAUUAGAAAAUAAUUACUUUACAAUAUUGUGAUGGNNNNNNNNNNNNNNNNNNNNNNNNNNAACCUGAAUACGUCACAGGUAUACGUGUGUCCCCACUAUCCUGAACCCCCCUCCCAACUCCCCCUCCACCCUAUCCCUCUGGGUUGUCCUGCUUCAUGCAUCAAACUUGCGCUGGUCAUCUACUUUACAUACGCUACUUCCUAGUCUUCAGAAUUGCUUUCAGCUUGAUGCAUUGCUCAUUGCCCUUUCUUGGAUGGACUUGUUACUCUUACUUUUUCACAGUGUGUCCUGCUGGGGGCUCUGGGGAAAGUGGUCUGCUGUCCCCUCAGCCCCCUUUGCUUGCAUCAAGCCAUCAAUGAUACCUUCACUGUGGUGCGUUUGUGAUGGCCCUUGGACACUGGGGUCUUUGGACAGGUUAGUGGGUUGGAGGUCUAGGGGUGGUGGCAAGGCUACCAAUUGAAACUGAUCACACACCUCAGAGUCCUUGAGACAAAUCCAGUCAUGCCUUGUUUAACAAGGUGAAAGAGUCUACAGUGAUCCCUAAUCAUAUCAGGGGUUCUUAGAGAAACAAGUAAUGAUGUCACUGAUGUAACAAACAUUGGUCAUUAUUUUAAUGUUUAAGAGUGUCUUACAAUAUCAACACUGUUUCUCAGACUGCGAAGUUUGCCUGCGGAAAAUCUCACUAAAACGUAUGCAUGUAAAAAGCCCUGAACAGACUACAAGAUGUCUAAAAUAGUCAAUGUUAAUAGUAAUCAAAAAAAUAGAAGCGCUAAACUUUAUUUUCACCUAUGGAAGUAGAAAAGUCAAGAGGGCAGUAAAACACUACACUUGGUUAUUGAUUUGGGGAAGUGUUGUCGCUGUUCAGUCGCUAAGUCAUGUCUGACUCCGCCACUCCAUGGCCUAGCGCUCGUCGCUUCUCCACUAUCCCCUGGAGUUUGCUCAAACUCAUGUCCAUUGAGCUGGCGAUGCUAUCUAACGAU